GAAAUGCGAUAAGUAAUGUGAAUUGCAGAAUUCAGUGAAUCAUCGAAUCUUUGAACGCACAUUGCGCCCGCCAGUAUUCUGGCGGGCAUGCCUGUCCGAGCGUCAUUUCAACCAUCAAGCCCCCGGGCUUGUGUUGGGGACCUGCGGCUGCCCGCAGGCCCUGAAAACCAGUGGCGGGCUCGCUGUCACACCGAGCGUAGUAGCAAUCACCUCGCUCAGGGCGUGCUGCGGGUUCCGGCCGUUAAACAGCCUUACAAAACCAAAGGUUGACCUCGGAUCAGGUAGGAAGACCCGCUGAACUUAAGC
rnacentral:misc_RNA from 1 species